UCAAAGCAAAGAGUAAAUUAAUAUAUACGGGGAAUUCAAAGACUUUACUUAGAAAAUCUUUCAAAAGUUGCAUUUUGUUGAUUUAGGCAAAAUAAAUCGAAAAAAUGGGCUUAUUCGGCAAAUCCCCAGAGCGGAACCCAAAAGAAAUGGUCAACGAGUGGUCACACAAACUCCGUAAGGAAGGCUAUAAUUUAGAUAGACAGAUAAGGAGUAUACAACGUGAGGAAGAAAAAAUCAAGCGGUCACUAAAAGAAGCAGCUGGAAAAAAUGAUAAACAAAUUUGUACAAUACUAGCAAAAGAAAUCAUAAGGUCACGGAAAGCAAUUAGUAAGAUUUACACCAGUAAAGCACACUUGAACUCGGUACAAAUGCAGAUGAAGAACCAACUAGCAACAUUAAGGGUAGCUGGAUCGCUACAAAAAUCUACAGAGGUAAUGCAAGCGAUGCAAGCCUUGGUGAGAUUGCCGGAAGUGGCUCACACAAUGCAAGAGUUGAGCAAAGAGAUGAUGAGAGCUGGCAUCAUCGAGGAGAUGCUGGACGAGACCAUGUCCAGUGUGGAGGAUGAGGAAGAAAUGGAGGAGGCGGCGCAGAGUGAAGUUGAUAAGGUCCUAUGGGAACUGACCCAAGGCAAGCUGGGCGAAGCGCCGGCGCCACCCACCGCCGUGGCGGCCCCCGCGCCCUCCACCAGCAAGGAGGAGGAGCCCGACGAGAGCGAACUGGACGAGAUGCAGUCACGAUUGGAGGCGCUGCGGUCGUAGAUGGACUGCUGGCUCUGCCUACCCCACAAGGAAUAUAUAUGUACGUGUUAAUAUAUAUGUCACGAAGCAAGAUGUUAAUUAAUUUGGCGCCUAAAUCUAGACACGAGUCGGUGUCGUUGAAAGAAGUUGCCUUAAGUAUAUUUGUAAAUAUUACAUUUUAUAAUUAAGUUACUGCUGUAAACGAAUCACUUUAUUGUUGUUAAUGCUUAGUGUAUUUUAGCAUUUUAGAAUUAUUUUUAAUAACACACUAAAAUUAACUGUUAUUAUGAGAGACAUAAAAUUUAUACAUGUCUUACAAAAAACAUCGACGUCUUAUCCAUAGACCCACAAUUUCACUGAAAAAGUGUCCGAAUUUAACUAAUUGGUUCAUACGUUCUUAAAUGGAUCAUGAUAUAUACGGUAAGGCACUUAAUCUUCAAAUAUAAGAUUUUUAUACUAAUGGAUUGUGUGCUUCAUUGCAAAACAUUCAGAUCCAUUUUUGAAUGUUACAUAUCUUUUAAACAAAAGUCCGCAUGUUUAUUUAUUUGAUUUUGCUAUUUCUUCAUCUCUGCAUCAAGUACCUAUAUAGUUGGUCAAAGGAUGAAAAAAAACAACAUUCUGACAGCUGUCAUUAACGUACAUAAUUUUAGUCUGUUCUUUAGCGUUUAAGAAGGAAAUUCUUAUUUGCAGACGAUAUAUUUUUCUAACUUUCCAAAACUUAAAAUUACUUAAAAAGUAUAAUGUUAACUGUUUUAUAUUUUUUCUUAUUGCUGAGCAGUAUUAAUGCUUACUUGCAAUAAGUUUAUUUAUCUCUCAGGAUUGAGAAAAUGAUUUUAAUUUCCCACUAAUAGUUUAAUUGGUAUCAGAGUAGCUUUUCUUUAUAGUGUAAAAGAACUAACUUGUACAUAUGUUUUUCUUGCAUUCCUUUAUUAAUUAACUAACGAAUCUUAAGAAUUGUGUUUAAAGUUUUAUAGUCAUAUUAUCACCCUCAAGAAGUCCACUGUUGGAUAUAAAUUGAAGCUGUUAGGUUCUCUUGGUAUGGGGUAGAGGUCAGACGGGAGUCGUCUCGUUUAACUGACUUACUUACUCCUUGAUUGUGGUUAAAGGCAGACCUCUGCCUUUGCAAGAAGCCAGCCACUGUAGUAUGACACGCGCGACGAUGUUUUUAUCGCACGAAAAACUAUCGCUGUCCCGCUCUACGUCAAAGUAUAUAACGAAACAGCGAGCAGGAAGUAACCGGUACAAAAGCUAGGAUGAUGAUGGCGUUUUGAAUGACCUUAAGUACUUUGCGAAUGGAAUAGUAUAAUAAAGAUAUAUAUAUAUUAAACUAUUUAUUUAUUACGAGGUACAAGUUGUUGUACAAUUUUAUAAUGUUUGCCGAUGUCGGCGUAAUUAAGUAUUGCAGUUAAUGUUUGUAAUAAAUUAAUGCACUAAU
rnacentral:misc_RNA from 1 species